UACGAAGGGGGCUAGCGUUGUUCGGAAUUACUGGGCGUAAAGCGCGUGUAGGCGGGUCUUUAAGUCAGGGGUGAAAUGCCAAGGCUCAACCUUGGAACUGCCUUUGAUACUGGAGAUCUUGAGUCCGGGAGAGGUGAGUGGAAUUGCGAGUGUAGAGGUGAAAUUCGUAGAUAUUCGCAGGAACACCAGUGGCGAAGGCGGCUCACUGGCCCGGUACUGACGCUGAGGUGCGAAAGCGUGGGGAGCGAACAGG
rnacentral:rRNA from 1 species